GACGAACGCUGGCGGCGUGCUUAACACAUGCAAGUCGAACGGAAAGGCCCUGCUUUUGUGGGGUGCUCGAGUGGCGAACGGGUGAGUAACACGUGAGUAACCUGCCCUUGACUUUGGGAUAACUUCAGGAAACUGGGGCUAAUACCGGAUAGGAGCUCCUGCUGCAUGGUGGGGGGUGGAAAGUUUCGGCGGUUGGGGAUGGACUCGCGGCUUAUCAGCUUGUUGGUGGGGUAGUGGCUUACCAAGGCUUUGACGGGUAGCCGGCCUGAGAGGGUGACCGGCCACAUUGGGACUGAGAGACGGCCCAGACUCCUACGGGAGGCAGCAGUGGGGAAUAUUGCACAAUGGGCGGAAGCCUGAUGCAGCAACGCCGCGUGCGGGAUGACGGCCUUCGGGUGGUAAACCGCUUUCGCCUGUGACGAAGCGUGAGUGACGGUAAUGGGUAAAGAAGCACCGGCUAACUACGUG
rnacentral:rRNA from 1 species